UGUGGGAGCUGGCUUGCCAGCGAAGGCGUCAGCUCAGCCAAUAUAAAUGUUGGAUGUGCUGGCCUCAUCGCUGGCAAGCCAGCUCCCACA
rnacentral:antisense_RNA from 1 species